AUCUGCUGAUGAAAGUGACUGAAUUAUCAGUUUUGUUACUUUAAUGCACAUUGCAGAUAUUUUGCAGGCUGAAUAGCAACUUUCUAAAGACUUCUCAAAACAUAUGCCUCUGAAGACUUUGAUCACUCUUACAGAAUGUAGUUCUCAUCACCUUUUUCUACUCACUAUGUUCAAUAAAUUUAUAAGCGAUCCUUCUGUAGCCUAGUGGAUAAAACUGCCAAGCUAGUAAGCGAAGUGUUGCAGAUUCGAAACCAAGCACCGGCACAUUAGAUUGGAAGUUUUCAAUCAUAUGAUAUUUUAUGAUCGUAUGCAAAACUUGUACAAGCAGAGACCAUAUAAUAGAGGGAUGGCCCUCGAGCCAGUGCGCAAAACCAUCAACCACCGCUUGUACUGCACAGCCUAUCCGGAAGCUGGCAAAAACGUGUGUUGACUUAAGUCAUCGAUUUCGCGUAGUUUCAUUGCAAAGAUGCCCAGGAAAAAGAAAGUUUUCAUCAGCAGUCGCCGGAAGGGCUACUCAAAGAGGGGUCCGAGACAACAAGGUGUCAGUUCUUCCUCUCUCUUUGACAUUCUUAUUCAUCAGUUCAAUCAACUGUUCUUGAUGAUUGCAGUUCAAGAGAUGCACUGUGGGACUAAGCAUGGAAGUCAUUCUUCAUUGACCUCACCGAUGAACCCACAGAUACCCCAUUCUUGGAAGAAGCAACAGAUUCUGAUGGUUGUUCGGCUGAUGAAUUCUUUGGGUUUUUUGACACAAUUCACCAGUAUCAUCCGGACAACAAUGUAGAUGAAUUUGUUGAUGGCAUCCUGUGAUACCAGCAAUAUUUAACAUUAAAAACGGAGCUGUUUCAGCAUGUAGAUGAGCUAGGCAAUUUUACAAUUGCAAGAAAUAAGCGUGAAAACAUUACUAUUGUGCAGUUUUAUGACUGACGUAGGCUCAGUCCAGCUUUCAGUAGUCAUCAAGCCAUCCUUUACAGCUGCAAUAUAUGCACAUUGACGUGACUUUGGCCCAAAUCAUGAAUUCUGGAUUGGUUUACCUGCAUUUUUCUCCACUCUUAAGAGAUAUGAAGAAACUUUUAUCAAAACUGUCUACAUACCAUGUUUGUGUUGGCAAUUAUGAAGACAGAUUUGCAGACUUGAUUCCAGUUGGUGUAGGCAUAAGUGAAGGAGCUAUUUCAACAAUAUCUGCCUAAUAAUUCAACAUGUAAUAAAGUACAUGAGUAGAAAUUAUGGAAAUUAAAAUCCAAUGUACAGUUCACUUCAUGGAUAUCUAAAAUAUCUGUUAAUGAAGUUAUAUUAAGAUUGU